AAAACUUGUUGAAUUCAUUCCUUAAACUAAAUAUGGCACAAAGCCAAUACAUAAAACAAGUUUACAAUCUUGACAAAACAGUAGGUUGACCUAAACUUCACCUACUACCACUAAUACACAUAGUAACUUGUGCUAAUUAGCUUGAACAAAUAAACAAAGCUGAUUUAUCAGCUCAAUCAACAUCAAAAUUACAUCAAACAUAAACCUAACAUAGUUAUAAAGCAACUAAGUUACAUUACUCUAACUUAAAAUUACAAAAUGAAACAUAAACAGCUUGCUGACUAG
rnacentral:lncRNA from 1 species